AACCUCAUCCUGGCCAGUCAUUGUAAAAACCUAAUGGCGAGGUUAACAAGAGGGUAUUUUUAGCCAGCGCGUCAAAAUAUACAGGGUAAGAGUGAAUGUAGGGGGAAAAAAGUUGUGGGUUGUAGAAGUUAUCAAGUGGGAUUUGCGGCGCUCUCUGCAGGAAACGAGAGCGGCUCCAGUUCAAAGCCACAUGCACCAACGUGACAUAUAAGCCAUUAAAAUAUCAUCCUGACGGCUCAUUUCUGCUCCAUCAUACAUUCCCUAACUGCUUCCAGAAAGCCCGAAAAGAAGAAAUGAAGGAUGACCGCCUCGCUGGAACCACAAAAGACGUGGUUAGCGGGGUUCUUUUUCCCCAUCGUCCACCUCGAAGUGAUGUACAGAAAUGAGGGAUUCUCUUCAACAGGUGGAGUGGGGGUCAAAGUCAGAAAAUGAGAUACAAGACUUCCUUGGUAAUGAGGAAAAGAUUACGACUUUACAGAAACGCCCUCAAAGAAUCAAGGCCAUCCCGCCCCACCAAAGCCCGGUAAAUCCUGUUCAAAGAUGACUCGUUCCGGAGCUCUAGAAUUAAUAUUUGACGACUCUCUCGUUGGAACAACCACCCCUGACCUUCUGAGAUGCCACUGUCACAUUAUUCUAUGACAUAUUCAUCUUGAAUUCAUUUACGGACGAUUUGAUUGGAAUGAGGUUUGACAUGUAUUGGAUCCUAUUAAAGAAGAAGACUUUGAUCUUGUUGAUGGGGUAGACAUGAUAUGUCUCAUCUUUACUAGGGAUACCAGCCUUCCACAAUGUGGUGAAGACCAAGUUUCCACCAUGCCUUGUCUAAGUAGUUAGUCACUGACAUCUGCUCAGGCAGGAAAACCUUAAUCCUGAAGACUUUAAUUCGAUAUUCCAUUAAAAAAUAAGCUGCAAUUGGGUUUUUGCUUCAAGGCACCGUAGUUUCUAAAAUAGGAAAUACACCACCAAUUCCUUAUGAUUUCCACAGUUACUCUAAAGUGCCUACAAAAUAUUCUUUCAGAACAAAUAGACAAUCCCUGGAGUGAGAUGCUCACUAUCCUUUCCUUGUAUUUAAUGUUUUAAAGAGAAAAAGAAAACAUCGUUUUGUAUGUUUCUUUAGUUAAGGACAGUUGUAUUGAAGUUGAGUGAACUCCAUUUCCUUUCUUGGACAAUCUUGAAACGUAUUUCUUAUUCUCCUAUAAUAUUCUCAUAUAAUUUUCAUAAACAAGACAUCUUAGUGAAUGAAAUUCUACUAGAACAGCUUUUCCUACUAUAUCUAUUCUUUUAAUGAUCAUUAACAGACCAGUCUUUCGCAGAAAAGAGAAAGAAUACUUUCUUUUUUUUUUGUUCUUCAUUUAGUACUGAGGUUCCACAAUGCAUUUGCCUACUUAGGAGUGCAAAUUAAUAUUCUUUCAUAGACUUUUGAUUUCUGAUCAAAAAUUUUAUGCUUCUUAAUUGGAAAAAAUAUUUAAUUUUAAAGAGAAAUGAGAAAUCUUUAUUUCAAUAACCAGGAAGGAAAUUGUACUUUGUAUUGAAUAACCUGUUCCAUCAUUAACAGUUAUUCUAUGAAUCUAGAUGGAUCACUAAUAAAGGAGGCAAAUACAUAGCUUGAUUAUACAUAGCUUGAUGCAGCCAGACAUGACUUGUGGUUUCUGGGGCUUGCUCCUGAGCCCUAAGAAAAUUAGAAGGCAUUUUAAAUAUAGCAAAAAUUUCAAACAUAUAAAUAACAGUUUUUUUAUUUCUACAUGUAAAUAUUCUAAAAUAUAAAUAUUAGAUUCAUAUAGGGAAACAUGUUGUUUGCAAUUUAGGUUCUUUCCAGCUCUGAAUUCUAUACUCCCAGAAUGCUAAAAAGUUUCAGGUACACUGCAUGGAUAAAUUCAUUCAUUUGGACAGUACAGUAUAGGGGAGCAAUUUUAAACUAAAGAGAUCAGAAAAACUAAAAAGUCGCAUCAGUGUAUAUUGUAUACACUUUAGCUCUAUUUGAAACAAUUCCCUGAGAGGUAGUACUCUUUGCCCUAUCCAAGAGAGAGACAGACAAAUAUACAGAGAGA